rnacentral:ribozyme from 1 species
UUUCUGAGGUGCAGCGGCAGCGCGCGGAGGGUACACGCCCCGGGAAGCCCUGGCGCG